rnacentral:tmRNA from 1 species
GGGGGCGUAAAGGUUUCGACAGGGGAUUAAAGGAAUUGGAAGCGAGCCGAGGGACGCAGAUGGCCCGCGUUAAAAAAUCUGCGAAUUAUUAAUUGCCAACUUAACAAAUGCAACAGCAGACAACUACGCUUUUGAGGCUCGCCUCGCUGCUUAGUGUCAACAAUCCCUAGAGAAAAUCCUAGGUGGUGUAAAGAGUAGAUAGUUCUGG